rnacentral:rRNA from 1 species
AGAGUUUGAUCAUGGCUCAGAGCGAACGCUGGCGGCAGGCUUAACACAUGCAAGUCGAGCGGUAACAGGUGUAGCAAUACAUGCUGACGAGCGGCGAACGGGUGAGUAAUGCUUCGGAAUCUGCCCAAUGGUGGGGAAUAACCAGCCGAAAGGUUGGCUAAUACCGCAUAAGUCCUACGGGGGGAAAGCAGGGGAUCGUAAGACCUUGCGCCGAUGGAUGAGCCGAAGUCGGAUUAGCUAGUUGGUAGGGUAACGGCCUACCNNGGCGACGAUCCGUAGCUGGUCUGAGAGGACGACCAGCCACACUGGGACUGAGACACGGCCCAGACUCCUACGGGAGGCAGCAGUGGGGAAUAUUGGACAAUGGGGGAAACCCUGAUCCAGCGACGCCGCGUGUGUGAAGAAGGCCUGCGGGUUGUAAAGCACUUUUAGUGGGGAUGAAAAGCUCAGGGAUAACACCUCUGGGUCUUGACCUAACCCACAGAAAAAGCACCGGCUAACUCUGUGCCAGCAGCCGCGGUAAUACAGAGGGUGCGAGCGUUAAUCGGAAUUACUGGGCGUAAAGCGUGCGUAGACGGUUAUGUAAGUCGGGUGUGAAAGCCCCGGGCUCAACCUGGGAAUGCCAUUCGAGACUGCAUAGCUAGGGUGCGGAAGAGGGAAGCGGAAUUUCCGGUGUAGCGGUGAAAUGCGUAGAUAUCGGAAGGAACACCAGUGGCGAAAGCGGCUUCCUGGUCCAGCACCGACGUUCAGGCACGAAAGCGUGGGGAGCAAACAGGAUUAGAUACCCUAGUAGUCC